AUUGAACGCUGGCGGAAUGCUUUACACAUGCAAGUCGAACGGCAGCACGGACUUCGGUCUGGUGGCGAGUGGCGAACGGGUGAGUAAUGUAUCGGAACGUGCCCAGUCGUGGGGGAUAACGUAGUGAAAAUUACGCUAAUACCGCAUACGAUCUAUGGAUGAAAGCGGGGGAUCGCAAGACCUCGCGCGAUUGGAGCGGCCGAUAUCAGAUUAGGUAGUUGGUGGGGUAAAGGCCCACCAAGCCAACGAUCUGUAGCUGGUCUGAGAGGACGACCAGCCACACUGGAACGGAGACACGGUCCAGACUCCUAAGUGAGGCAGCAGUGGGGAAUUUUGGACAAUGGGCGGAAGCCUGAUCCAGCCAUUCCGCGUGCAGGAUGAAGGCCCUCGGGUUGUAAACUGCUUUUGUACAGAACGAAAAGGUUUCUACUAAUACUAGGAGCUCAUGACGGUACUGUAAGAAUAAGCACCGGCUAACUACGUGCCAGCCGCCGCCGUAA
rnacentral:rRNA from 1 species